GACGAACGCUGGCGGCGUGCUUAACACAUGCAAGUCGAACGGAAAGGCCCCUUUGGGGGUACUCGAGUGGCGAACGGGUGAGUAACACGUGAGUAACCUGCCCUUGACUUCGGGAUAACUUCAGGAAACUGGGGCUAAUACCGGAUAGGAAUCCUUGCUGCAUGGUGGGGGUUGGAAAGCUUCGGCGGUUUUGGAUGGACUCGCGGCUUAUCAGCUUGUUGGUGGGGUAGUGGCUUACCAAGGCUUUGACGGGUAGCCGGCCUGAGAGGGCGACCGGCCACAUUGGGGCUGAGAUACGGCCCAGACUGCUACGGGAGGCAGCAGUGGGGAAUAUUGCACAAUGGGCGGAAGCCUGAUGCAGCAACGCCGCGUGCGGGAUGACGGCCUUCGGGUUGUAAACCGCUUUCAGCAGGGGCGAAGCUUGUGGUGACGGUACCUGCAGAAGAAGCACCGGCUAACUACGUG
rnacentral:rRNA from 1 species